GCUGGCGGCGUGCCUAACACAUGCAAGUCGGGGGAGAAAGUGGACUUCGGUCUGCGAGUAAACCGGCGCACGGGUGAGUACAACGUAGGUAACGUACCUUCGAGUCCGGGAUAACCAGCCGAAAGGUUGGCUAAUACCGGAUACGACCGCGGAGCCUCGGCUCUACGGGGAAAGAUGGCCUCUGUUUACAAGCUAUCACUCGCUGAGCGGCCUACGCACCAUUAGCUAGUUGGUGAGGUAACGGCUCACCAAGGCUGAGAUGGUUAGCUGGUCUGAGAGGAUGGCCAGCCACACUGGGACUGAGACACGGCCCAGACUCCUACGGGAGGCAGCAGUGGGGAAUAUUGCGCAAUGGGCGAAAGCCUGACGCAGCGACGCCGCGUGGGUGAUGAAGGCCUUCGGGUCGUAAAGCCCUGUCGGGAGGGAAGAACGUCCCUCGACCUAACACGUCGGGGGAGUGACGGUACCUCCUAAGGAAGCACCGGCUAACUCCGUGCCAGCAGCCGCGGUAAUACGGAGGGUGCAAGCGUUGUUCGGAAUCACUGGGCGUAAAGGGCGU
rnacentral:rRNA from 1 species